rnacentral:rRNA from 1 species
UACGUAGGUGGCAAGCGUUGUCCGGAAUUAUUGGGCGUAAAGCGCGCGCAGGCGGCCUCUUAAGUCUGAUGUGAAAGCCCCCGGCUCAACCGGGGAGGGCCAUUGGAAACUGGGAGGCUUGAGUAUAGGAGAGAAGAGUGAAUCACGUGUAGCGGUGAAAUGCGUAGAGAUGUGGAGGAACACCAGUGGCGAAGGCGACUCUUUGGCCUAUAACUGACGCUGAGGCGCGAAAGCGUGGGGAGCAAACAGG